AGUAAAUCAAUGACCGGAGAAGUAAGAUAGCACCUUUGUUUUAGCGAUUAAGGGAUGGUGGGAGCCUUAUACAAAAACUAUCUGAAUAACACCGCGAGAGACAGAAGAAAUUUAGUAGAACUGUACGUAUAUCUGCGUUAAAGAUUUUAAGCGCUAUUAUUAUAAUGGAAUUAAGGUGGUACCACGGUUUAAAUCGUCCUUUUU
rnacentral:ncRNA from 1 species